rnacentral:rRNA from 1 species
UGAGGAAUAUUGGUCAAUGGGCGUAAGCCUGAACCAGCCAAGUCGCGUGAGGGAAGACGGCCCUAUGGGUUGUAAACCUCUUUUGUCGGGGAGCAAAGCCGCCCACGAGUGGGCGAAGGAGAGUACCCGAAGAAAAGCAUCGGCUAACUCCGUGCCAGCAGCCGCGGUAAUACGGAGGAUGCGAGCGUUAUCCGGAUUUAUUGGGUUUAAAGGGUGCGUAGGCGGCAUGGUAAGUCAGCGGUCAAAUCGAGGGGCUCAACCCCUUUCCGCCGUUGAAACUGCCGUGCUUGAGUGGGCGAGAAGUAUGCGGAAUGCGUGGUGUAGCGGUGAAAUGCAUAGAUAUCACGCAGAACUCCGAUUGCGAAGGCAGCAUACCGGCGCCCGACUGACGCUGAGGCACGAAAGCGUGGGGAUCGAACAGGAUUAGAUACC